UCUAGAGUUUCAUGCCAGAACUCUGUAUUUCUUUCAUGACAACUCUCGGCGGGACUGGCUUGGUAAUGUACAAGACAAUGUUAAUGUGUUUGGUCUUGGCGGAAUAGAUCUGCUAAGCU